rnacentral:tRNA from 1 species
GCUGUGGCUCAGUGGCAGGGCACCUGCUUAGCAUCCAGAAGGUCCCAGGUUCAAUUCCAAGCAUCUCCA